rnacentral:rRNA from 1 species
UACAGAGGUCCCGAGCGUUGUUCGGAUUCAUUGGGCGUAAAGGGUGCGUAGGCGGCGUCUCAAGUCUGAUGUGAAAUCCCGGGGCUCAACCCCGGAACUGCAUUGGAUACUGGGAUGCUAGAGUACUGGAGAGGGAACUGGAAUUUACGGUGUAGCAGUGAAAUGCGUAGAGAUCGUAAGGAAGGCCAGUGGCGAAGGCGAGUUCCUGGACAGUUACUGACGCUGAGGCACGAAGGCCAGGGGAGCAAACGGG